AUUGAACGCUGGCGGCAGGCUUAACACAUGCAAGUCGAGCGGGGUGAUGGUGCUUGCACUAUCACUUAGCGGCGGACGGGUGAGUAAUGCUUGGGAAUCUGCCUAUUAGUGGGGGACAACAUCUCGAAAGGGAUGCUAAUACCGCAUACGUCCUACGGGAGAAAGCAGGGGAUCACUUGUGACCUUGCGCUAAUAGAUGAGCCUAAGUCGGAUUAGCUAGUUGGUGGGGUAAAGGCCUACCAAGGCGACGAUCUGUAGCGGGUCUGAGAGGAUGAUCCGCCACACUGGGACUGAGACACGGCCCAGACUCCUACGGGAGGCAGCAGUGGGGAAUAUUGGACAAUGGGGGGAACCCCGAUCCAGCCAUGCCGCGUGUGUGAAGAAGGCCUUAUGGUUGUAAAGCACUUUAAGCGAGGAGGAGGCUCUUUUGGUUAAUACCCAAGAUGAGUGGACGUUACUCGCAGAAUAAGCACCGGCUAACUCUGUGCCAGCCGCCGCCGUAA
rnacentral:rRNA from 1 species